UCCGGUUUGUCACCGGCAGUCUCAUUAGAGUGCCCUUUCGUAGCAACUAAUGACAAGGGUUGCGCUCGUUGCGGGACUUAACCCAACAUCUCACGACACGAGCUGACGACAGCCAUGCAGCACCUGUGUAAUGGUUCCCUUUCGGGCACUCCCUGAUCUCUCCGGGAUUCCAUCCAUGUCAAGGGUAGGUAAGGUUUUUCGCGUUGCAUCGAAUUAAACCACAUGCUCCACCGCUUGUGCGGGCCCCCGUCAAUUUCUUUGAGUUUUAACCUUGCGGCCGUACUCCCCAGGCGGAGAGCUUAAUGCGUUAGCUGCGUCACCGACACGCAUGCGUGCCGACAACUAGCUCUCAUCGUUUACAGCGUGGACUAC
rnacentral:misc_RNA from 1 species